CCUACGGGAGGCAGCAGUGAGGAAUAUUGGUCAAUGGACGAGAGUCUGAACCAGCCAAGUAGCGUGAAGGAUGACUGCCCUAUGGGUUGUAAACUUCUUUUAUAUGGGAAUAAAAUGUUCCACGUGUGGGAUUUUGUAUGUACCAUAUGAAUAAGGAUCGGCUAACUCCGUGCCAGCAGCCGCGGUAAUACGGAGGAUCCGAGCGUUAUCCGGAUUUAUUGGGUUUUAAGGGAGCGUAGGUGGAUUGUUAAGUCAGUUGUGAAAGUUUGCGGCUCAACCGUAAAAUUGCAGUUGAAACUGGCAGUCUUGAGUACAGUAGAGGUGGGCGGAAUUCGUGGUGUAGCGGUGAAAUGCUUAGAUAUCACGAAGAACUCCGAUUGCGAAGGCAGUUCACUGGACUGCAACUGACACUGAGGCUCGAAAGUGUGGGUAUCAAACAGGAUUAGAUACCCCUGUAGUC
rnacentral:rRNA from 1 species